GGAAGUAAAAGUCGUAACAAGGUCUCCGUUGGUGAACCAGCGGAGGGAUCAUUACAGAGUUGCAAAACUCCAACAAACCAUCGCGAAUCUUACCCGUACGGUUGCCUCGGCGCUGGCGGUCCGGAAGGCCCUCGGGCCCCCCGGAUCCUCGGGUCUCCCGCUCGCGGGAGGCUGCCCGCCGGAGUGCCGAAACCAAACUCUUGAUAUUUUAUGUCUCUCUGAGUAAACUUUUAAAUAAGUCAAAACUUUCAACAACGGAUCUCUUGGUUCUGGCAUCGAUGAAGAACGCAGCGAAAUGCGAUAAGUAAUGUGAAUUGCAGAAUUCAGUGAAUCAUCGAAUCUUUGAACGCACAUUGCGCUCGCCAGUAUUCUGGCGAGCAUGCCUGUUCGAGCGUCAUUUCAACCAUCAAGCUCUGCUUGCGUUGGGGAUCCGCGUCUGACGCGGUCCCUCAAAAACAGUGGCGGGCUCGCUAGUCACACCGAGCGUAGUAACUCUACAUCGCUAUGGUCGUGCGGCGGGUUCUUGCCGUAAAACCCCCAAUUUCUAAGGUUGACCUCGGAUCAGGUAGGAAUACCCGCUGAACUUAAGCAUAUCAAUAAGCGGAGGA
rnacentral:rRNA from 1 species